AUUGAACGCUGGCGGCAGGCCUAACACAUGCAAGUCGAACGAGUGGCGGAAGGGUGAGUAAUGUAUGGGAAACUGCCUGAUGGAGGGGGAUAACUACUGGAAACGGUAGCUAAUACCGCAUACCAUCAGAUGGGCCCAGAUGGGAUUAGCUUGUGGGUGGGGUAACGGCUAACCAAGGCGACGAUCCAUAGCGGGUCUGAGAGGAGGACCAGCCACACUGGAACUGAGACACGGUCCAGACUCCAACGGGAGGCAGCAGUGGGAAAUAGUGCACAAGGGGCGCAAGCCUGAUGCAGCCAUGUCGCGUGUAUGAAGAAGGCCUUAGGGUUGUAAAGUACUUUCAGCGGGGAGGCGUUACCCGCAGAAGAAGCACCGGCUAACUCCGUGCCAGCCGGCGCGGUAAUUC
rnacentral:rRNA from 1 species